rnacentral:rRNA from 1 species
UACGUAGGUGGCAAGCGUUGUCCGGAUUUACUGGGCGUAAAGAGCGCGCAGGCGGCUGGUCAAGUCCGAUGUGAAAGCUCCCGGCUUAACUGGGAAACGGCAUCGGAAACUGAUCGGCUUGAAGGUGGGAGAGGGUAGUGGAAUUCCCGGUGUGGUGGUGAAAUGCGUAGAUAUCGGGAGGAACACCAGUGGCGAAGGCGACUACCUGGCCCACUCUUGACGCUGAGGCGCGAAAGCUAGGGGAGCAAACGGG